rnacentral:rRNA from 1 species
GCGACCCCGGGUCAGACGGGACUACCCGCU